CACUACUUAGUUCGUUACCGUGUCAUAUCAUAUUGUAUUAUCGACCGGCGUGCGCGACUCUAUCAUUGACAACACUAUUUAAAAUUAAAUUAUUAAAAACAAGUUUAAAAUAUCUCUCGAUUAAAAUUAAAAUUGAAAUAUAAACAUGGAUUCUGACAGCAAAAAUGCGUCCAAAACACGAAAUUCAACACAAGUUAUGAGCUACAACCCAUGGAAUUUGUUAUUUAGCCCCAGAAAUCGUACUAACAGUGAAACCAGUGUCGGUUCUAAUAUUUCUCAAAGUAGUCAACAAGGUACUCAAUUCGGGACACUACAGAGGCAAACGAGCAAAAACGAAGAAUAUCUGUGGAUGAUGUGGCGUUCUUAAGUGCACGCAAUCCGAGAGCGGAGUCUUCGUCCGGGGAACUUGAAACUUUAGCUGUUACGUUUACUUGAUAUUGCAUUAUAAUUAUGUGUUGGCAAACGCCUAGGCCGUACGUCUUAGCGUAGAUAAUGUUGGAACACGUAGCACUCCUCCCGGCCUGGUUUCUCAUGGCGUGGCUGGGAGCCUGCCUUCUCUUCAGCCCUUUCGCAAUAUUCUUCGUAAUGUGCUUACCGCAAUUACCACUUUUAGUCGUAAGAAGGGCAUGCCAUAUACCAUUCGAGUAUAUUUGAACACUGAAUGGGAGAAAUGUGUGUGAUAGUCAUGUAUUUUAGGGUAUGAAUAUUCAUAAGUUUGUAUAAAGUGUAAAUAUUUUAUAAUGAAUACAUUUUUAUUUUAUGAAGCAUCUUUA